rnacentral:rRNA from 1 species
AGUGAACGCUGGCGGUAGGCCUAACACAUGCAAGUCGAACGGCAGCACAGUAAGAGCUUGCUCUUACGGGUGGCGAGUGGCGGACGGGUGAGGAAUACAUCGGAAUCUACUUUUUCGUGGGGGAUAACGUAGGGAAACUUACGCUAAUACCGCAUACGACCUACGGGUGAAAGCAGGGGAUCUUCGGACCUUGCGCGGUUGAAUGAGCCGAUGUCGGAUUAGCUAGUUGGCGGGGCAAAGGCCCACCAAGGCGACGAUCCGUAGCUGGUCUGAGAGGAUGAUCAGCCACACUAGAACUGAGACACGGUCCAGACUCCUACGGGAGGCAGCAGUGGGGAAUAUUGGACAAUGGGCGCAAGCCUGAUCCAGCCAUACCGCGUGGGUGAAGAAGGCCUUCGGGUUGUAAAGCCCUUUUGUUGGGAAAGAAAAGCAGCAGGUUAAUACCCCGCUGUUCUGACGGUACCCAAAGAAUAAGCACCGGCUAACUUCGUG